UACGGAGGGUGCAAGCGUUGCUCGGAAUUAUUGGGCGUAAAGGGUAGGUAGGUGGUCUCAUUUGUUUGGGGUGAAAUCCUUGAGCUUAACUCAAGAAGUGCCCCGGAAACGGUGAGACUAGAGUCCUGGAGAGGGUCGUGGAAUUCCCGGUGUAGCGGUGAAAUGCGUAGAGAUCGGGAGGAACACCAGAGGCGAAGGCGGCGACCUGGACAGGUACUGACACUCAACUACGAAAGCGUGGGGAGCAAACAGG
rnacentral:rRNA from 1 species